AGAGUCAACAACGCCUCCACCAAGGUUCGAUCUCAUAACCUCCCAUAUGGGAGAGGUUACUACAUGUCAUCUAAGCACAAUGUACUCAUUACAAUAAAA